CACGUAGGGCGCGAGCGUUGUCCGGAAUUAUUGGGCGUAAAGAGCUCGUAGGCGGCCUGUUGCGUCCGCUGUGAAAGCCCGGGGCUUAACCCCGGGUCGGCAGUGGAUACGGGCAGGCUAGAGGUAGGUAGGGGAGAAUGGAAUUCCCGGUGUAGCGGUGGAAUGCGCAGAUAUCAGGAGGAACACCGGUGGCGAAGGCGGGUCUCUGGGCCGUUACUGACGCUGAGGAGCGAAAGCGUGGGGAGCGAACAGG
rnacentral:rRNA from 1 species